ACCUGUUUAUCCUGCAGGAGGUUGCUGCUAUCAGAAUCCGACUAAGACAUGCAAGUGAUUGCCGCAAGGCAACGCAGAAGGCUCAGUAACACGUCGAUAACGUGCCGUGAAGUAAGGAAUAAUCUCGGGAAACUGAGGAUAAUACCUUAUAGGGAAUAGCGUGUGGAAUUCUGCUAUUCCAAAAAGCUUCGGCGCUUCACGAUCGGUCGGCGACCCAUCAGGUUGUUGGUGAGGUAAUGGCUCACCAAGCCGAAGACGGGUAGGGGCCAUGAGAGUGGGAGCCCCGAGAAGGACACUGCGAUACGGGUCCUAGCCCUAAGGGGUGCAGCAGUUACGAAACCUUUACAAUGCACGAAAGUGUGAUAAGGGGAUUCUGAGUGCUUACGGAUUUCCGUAGGCUUUUUGCGAAGGUAAACACUUCGUAGAAUAAGUGGUGGGCAAGACCGGUGCCAGCCGCCGCGGUAACCCCAGCGCCACAAGUGGGAACCACUAUUAUUGGGUCUAAAGCAUCCGUAGCCGGCUCAGCAAAUGCCCUGUGAAAUCGUUCCGCUCAACGGGACGGCGAGCAGGGUAGACUACUGAACUUGGGACCAGGAGAGGGAGGCAGUAUUCUUGGGGGAGCGGUAAAAUGUUAUAAUCCCGAGAGGACUACCGAUGGCGAAGGCAGCCUCCUAGAAUGGAUCCGACGGUGAGGGAUGAAAGCUAGGGGAGCGAUCCGGAUUAGAUACCCGAGUAGUCCUAGCCGUAAACGCUGCAUGCCAGAUGUUGCACAAUCUCCGAGAUUGUGCAGUGUCGAAACGAAGGUGUUAAGCAUGCCACCUGGGAAGUACGGUCGCAAGGCUGAAACUUAAAGGAAUUGGCGGGGGAGCACCACAAGGGGUGCGGCGUGCGGUUUUAUCGAAUUCAACGCCGAAAAUCUCACCAGGGGCGCCGGCAGUAUGAUGGUCAGUCUGAAGGGCUUACUAGACGAGCCGAGAGGUGGUGCAUGGCCGCCGUCAGCUCGUGUCGUGAGAUGUCCUGUUAAGUCAGGCAACGAGCGAGACCUGUGUCCACCGUUGCUAACGCGUCCGCAAGGACGAGCGAGCACACUGCGGAGACUGCCUUCGAAAGAAGGAGGAAGGCGCAGGCUACGGUAGGUCUGUACGCCCCGAAUCUCCUGGGCUACACGCGCGCAACAAUGGUUGUGACAAUAGGCUGCGACACCGUAAGGUGAAGCCAAUCCUCUAAACACAACCUUAGUAUGAAUUGAGGGCUGCAACUCGCCCUCAUGACAACGGAAUCCCUAGUAAUCAGAGGUUAGCAUCCUCCGGUGAAUAUGUCCCUGCUCCUUGCACACACCGCCCGUCAAGCCAACCGAGCAGGUUUCAGGUGAGCUUUGUUGAGUAAACAUCGCGAACCUGGGGUCAGUGAGGUGGGCUAAGUCGUCACAAGGUA
rnacentral:rRNA from 1 species